GGCCAAGUUUUUAAGGGCGCACGGUGGAUGCCUUGGCACCAGGAACCGAUGAAGGACGUGGGAGGCCACGAUAGGCCCCGGGGAGCUGUCAACCGAGCUUUGAUCCGGGGGUGUCCGAAUGGGGAAACCCGGCAGUCGUCAUGGGCUGUCACCCGCUGCUGAACACAUAGGCAGUGUGGAGGGAACGCGGGGAAGUGAAACAUCUCAGUACCCGCAGGAAGAGAAAACAACCGUGAUUCCGGGAGUAGUGGCGAGCGAAACUGGAUGAGGCCAAACCAGUCACGUGUGAUACCCGGCAGGGGUUGCGUGGUUGGGGUUGUGGGAUCUCUCUUUUGCAGUCUGCCGGCUGUGAGGCGAGUCAGAAACCGUUGAUGUAGGCGAAGGACAUGCGAAAGGUCCGGCGUAGAGGGUAAGACCCCCGUAGCUGAAACAUUAGCGGCUCGUUUGAGAGACACCCAAGUAGCACGGGGCCCGAGAAAUCCCGUGUGAAUCUGGCGGGACCACCCGUUAAGCCUAAAUAUUCCCUGGUGACCGAUAGCGGAUAGUACCGUGAGGGAAUGGUGAAAAGUACCGCGGGAGCGGAGUGAAAUAGUACCUGAAACCGUGUGCCUACAAGCCGUGGGAGCGUCGCUGGUGAGUUUACUCAUCAGUCGUGACUGCGUGCCUUUUGAAGAAUGAGCCUGCGAGUUUGCGGUAUGUUGCGAGGUUAACCCGUGUGGGGAAGCCGUAGCGAAAGCGAGUCCGAAUAGGGCGUGGAGUAGCAUGCUCAAGACCCGAAGCGGAGUGAUCUAGCCAUGGGCAGGUUGAAGCGGAGGUAAGACUUCGUGGAGGACCGAACCCACCAGGGUUGAAAACCUGGGGGAUGACCUGUGGUUAGGGGUGAAAGGCCAAUCAAACUCCGUGAUAGCUGGUUCUCCCCGAAAUGCAUUUAGGUGCAGCGUCGUGUGUUUCUUGCCGGAGGUAGAGCACUGGAUAGGCGAUGGGCCCUACCGGGUUACUGACCUUAGCCAAACUCCGAAUGCCGGUAAGUGAGAGCGCGGCAGUGAGACUGUGGGGGAUAAGCUCCAUGGUCGAGAGGGAAACAGCCCAGAGCAUCGACUAAGGCCCCUAAGCGUGUGCUAAGUGGGAAAGGAUGUGGAGUCGCAGAGACAACCAGGAGGUUGGCUUAGAAGCAGCCACCCUUGAAAGAGUGCGUAAUAGCUCACUGGUCAAGUGAUUCCGCGCCGACAAUGUAGCGGGGCUCAAGUACACCGCCGAAGUCGUGUCAUUGCAGCAUGAGGGCUAACGCCUGUUGUGAUGGGUAGGGGAGCGUCGUGUGCCGGGUGAAGCAGCCGUGGAAACGAGUUGUGGACGGUUCACGAGUGAGAAUGCAGGCAUGAGUAGCGAUACAAGAGUGGGAAACUCUUGCGCCGAUUGACUAAGGGUUCCUGGGUCAAGCUGAUCUGCCCAGGGUAAGUCGGGACCUAAGGCGAGGCCGACAGGCGUAGUCGAUGGACAACCGGUUGAUAUUCCGGUACCCGCUUUGAAGCGCCCAAUACUGAAUCAGGCGAUGCUAAGUCCGUGAAGCCGCCCUGAUCUCUUCGGAGUUGAGGGGAGUGGUGGAGCCGACGGACCAGACUUGUAGUAGGUAAGCGAUGGGGUGACGCAGGAAGGUAGUCCAGCCCGGGCGGUGGUUGUCCCGGGGUAAGGGUGUAGGCCGUGUGGUAGGUAAAUCCGUCGCACGUUAAGGCUGAGACCUGAUGCCGAGCCGAUUGUGGUGAAGUGGAUGAUCCUAUGCUGUCGAGAAAAGCCUCUAGUGAGUUUCAAGGCGGCCCGUACCCUAAACCGACUCAGGUGGUCAGGUAGAGAAUACCGAGGCGUUCGGGUGAACUAUGGUUAAGGAACUCGGCAAAAUGCCCCCGUAACUUCGGGAGAAGGGGGGCCAUUUCUGGUGAGGGAACUUGCUUCCUGAGCUGGGGGUGGCCGCAGAGACCAGCGAGAAGCGACUGUUUACUAAAAACACAGGUCCGUGCGAAGCCGUAAGGCGAUGUAUACGGACUGACGCCUGCCCGGUGCUGGAACGUUAAGGGGACCGGUUAGCUUGGAUUCGUUCAGGCGAAGCUGAGAACUUAAGCGCCAGUAAACGGCGGUGGUAACUAUAACCAUCCUAAGGUAGCGAAAUUCCUUGUCGGGUAAGUUCCGACCUGCACGAAUGGCGUAACGACUUCUCGACUGUCUCAACCAUAGGCCCGGUGAAAUUGCAUUACGAGUAAAGAUGCUCGUUUCGCGCAGCAGGACGGAAAGACCCCGGGACCUUUACUAUAGCUUGAUAUUGGUGUUCGGUUCGGCUUGUGUAGGAUAGGUGGGAGACUGUGAAGCGCCAACGCCAGUUGGUGUGGAGUCGUUGUUGAAAUACCACUCUGGUCGUGCUGGAUGUCUAACCUGGGUCCGUGAUCCGGAUCAGGGACAGUGUCUGGUGGGUAGUUUAACUGGGGCGGUUGCCUCCUAAAGAGUAACGGAGGCGCCCAAAGGUUCCCUCAGCCUGGUUGGUAAUCAGGUGUUGAGUGUAAGUGCACAAGGGAGCUUGACUGUGAGACUGACGGGUCGAGCAGGUACGAAAGUAGGGACUAGUGAUCCGGCGGUGGCUUGUGGAAGCGCCGUCGCUCAACGGAUAAAAGGUACCCCGGGGAUAACAGGCUGAUCUUCCCCAAGAGUCCAUAUCGACGGGAUGGUUUGGCACCUCGAUGUCGGCUCGUCGCAUCCUGGGGCUGGAGUCGGUCCCAAGGGUUGGGCUGUUCGCCCAUUAAAGCGGUACGCGAGCUGGGUUUAGAACGUCGUGAGACAGUUCGGUCCCUAUCCGCUGUGCGCGUAGGAGUCUUGAGAAGGGCUGUCCCUAGUACGAGAGGACCGGGACGGACGAACCUCUGGUGUGCCAGUUGUUCUGCCAAGGGCAUGGCUGGUUGGCUACGUUCGGAAAGGAUAACCGCUGAAAGCAUCUAAGCGGGAAGCCUGCUUCGAGAUGAGGGCUCCCUCCUCCUUGAGAGGGUAAGGCUCCCAGUAGACGACUGGGUUGAUAGGCCAGAUAUGGAAGCACUGUAAGGUGUGGAGUUGACUGGUACUAAUAGGCCGAGGGCUUGUCCUC
rnacentral:rRNA from 1 species